rnacentral:rRNA from 1 species
AUGCUAGUGAUUUACUCGUGGAUUAAUUUAAUCGAGAAAUUGCCUAUUUAUUCAACAAUCCAAAAACCUAUUAUGUGUAGGAAUUUUUCGGCAAGUGGCUUUGCCGCAGCACUGAAACCGAAUAAGUUUACCGGUACGUAUUUUAAGCGUUGGCAUACAAAGACCACUUUAUGGCUCACGGCUAUGAAUGUGUUCUGGGUCACCGGUGUGUCCACGGGAACGAUUGCUCCUGAACAGGAGAAGGCGUUCAGGGAGGCAACCACUGUGUUUCUCGGAGCAGUUCUUAGCGUGAUCGGAGAUAAACUGGUCGACGCAUAUUUACAUGUGCAUGUCGCCAAGGACUUGUGGGAGGCGCUCGAAUCUAAGUUCGGGGCCGCCGAUGCAGGGAGCGAGAUGUAUAUUAUAGAGCAGUUCCACGAUUACAAGAUGGUUGAGAACCGUCCUGUACUGGAGCAGGCUCAUGAGAUAAUAUGCAUUGUUAAGGAGCUUGAGCUUCUGAAGUGCGAGUUACCGGGCAAGUUUGUCGCGGGCUGCAUAAUCGCUAAGCUCCCCAAUUCCUGGAGGGACUUUGCCACCACUCUGAAAUAUCAGAGGUGUGAAUUCUGUGAAGGAUGUCAUUGGCCAUCUGAGUGUUGA